UACGGAGGGUGCAAGCGUUAUCCGGAUUCACUGGGUUUAAAGGGUGCGUAGGUGGGUUGGUAAGUCCGUGGUGAAAUCCCCAAGCUUAACUUGGGAACUGCCGUGGAUACUAUCAAUCUUGAAUAUCGUGGAGGUAAGCGGAAUAUGUCAUGUAGCGGUGAAAUGCUUAGAUAUGACAUAGAACACCAAUUGCGUAGGCAGCUUACUACACGAUCAUUGACGCUGAGGCACGAAAGCGUGGGGAGCAAACAGG
rnacentral:rRNA from 1 species